UCCAUCCAUAUAUCCAGGUGAUUGAAAACGUUGAGUAUUCCAGGCAAGUACUUUACCAGGAAUGUACACCUCCAGCCCAUUUUUAUUUUAUUAGGGAACAUCUUACUAAGUUGCGCAGGCUGUACUUGAACAGGUGACUCACAAAUCAGUGUCUCAAGUAGCUGGAAUUACAGGCCUGUACCACCAUGACAGGCUAAGAGCUAAUAUUUUUAAGGGACAUAUUAAAAUCCUUUUUUAUUUACAAACUUCAACAAUGUUGACUCCCAAAUUCCUUCAUCCCCAGGAUGAAUAUCAACCCAUUUUCCCAGUGUCCAAGCAGAAGCCAAAGGACAAUGGACAUCAAGAACCAGGUUGAUCUGUCAUGAAUGUAAAGAGAAAGCAGCUUGGACAGAAGGAUAGGAGGCAGGGUGAUCACCUCAUCAUGGACAGCUAGGGGAACACUGUCAGAUUCGGAACUUGAGGCUCCAGCAUGGUUUGACUCCUGGAUAACAUCAUCACUGUGAGGAGUGAGUGAGUUCCUUAACCUUACUCUCUGGGGCUCCCUUUUUGUUUUUCCUCUGAAAGAUGUAAUGGCAGCUGUCAGGGAUGAAAAGAACUAAUGCACAAGAACACUUGGUUCAGGUUGUCUUCUAGUGAGAACGAGCUGUGCAUUGCUGACUGGGUGGCGUCAGGGAUGCAGAUGGUAAAGGUUGCUACAAAGUUGUGUAAAGAACUUCCAAAGGCAUGGAAAGUUCUGCUUGGAGCCUAGGGAAAGCUUCAGGGACCAUUUGAACAGUGAGCACAUGCUGGGAUCUGCAGGCUACGGUUUAUCCUGUAGGUCUGGCUUUGAGCAAACAGGAUCAGUAGAGUUUAUAUGGAGCUAGAAAACAGGAUAAGAAGUGUGUGGGAUGAUUGGAAGAUACUUGGGCCAAGCAGUAGACAUUGGGGUGAAGAAUGGUCACUUGUGCUCAAAGUACCAGCUCAUGUGGGGGCCCUAGGAGCUCAGGUCCCCCAAGGGAGAGGCAUUUCUUGGUCUCUAUAGGAGGUUAAGCCAGCCUGGACAGUGCUCUGUGCUUGCCUUUUCUUAUGCCUGUUGGCUUUCAACCCCAUUGUAAAUCCUAGUUUGCUUUGAUGUGUCUCAACCACUUCCUCGUUCCAUUUGGUAGAAGCACGACUGCCCACUGCCAGGCUGAACACUUACCUCAGAUGUUGCUUGCCAAAUGCCGAGUUUUACAACCUUGUAUCAUACAUGUCUCUGCC